GUCUUCGUGGAGCAAAAGGGAACUCGUUCUCAUACCAUAUUUCUUCCACACGUUUGAAAGAAAGUCGAUGGUUCGAAUCCACCCGAAGACG